GAGCUCACUUUGCAGCACAUAUAGUAAAAUUGGAAAGAUACAGAGAAGAUUAGCAUGGCCCCUGAGCAAGGAUGGCAUGCAAACUCUUGAAGUGCUCCAUAUUUUU
ensembl:snRNA U6 U6 spliceosomal RNA